UACAUUAUGAUCUGUGUGUUCCGUGGA
rnacentral:sRNA from 1 species